AUGGGAGGAGUGCAAUUUCGGUUAGCCAAGGACGUCUCAGUUGUGGGAGCUAAAUCAGUUCUAGAAUUAGGGCUUCACUGCAACCUUUUUCCGUUCGUGACACGAGAUUUGCCUCUGGAGUGUUGAAGUUUUCAGCUGAGUCGGAAGGCAACUCAUUUCUCUGCGUAAUUUCACAGCCUCAAACGAACAAGAGGUGUCCAACAGUCACAAACUCCAGCUCCGUUCUGAACUUCACACAGAAUUGUGCCAAGUCAUAUAGAUUUAAUCAGUAGGUAUGUGGUAAUACUGAACUCCAAUAGUUACUUUACGAAUAUAUAAUAGCUAGUGGAGUUUAGAAACUAGCUUAUUGAUUGAUCUACGUGAGUGUUAGACAAUUCAGUUCACUUGGAUUUUAAAUAGCCUGGUUCGAGUAAAUAAUGAUAAAGUCUUGCAUGUGCAAAUACAGAUGGCCACUGCACUCUAAACAUACAUUGGUUCCACGGUGACGCUUCAGACACUCGUUCAUGUCUCAGGACCAGGCCAGGUUUAGACCAGGGCAGCUCGUGCUCUUUUAAAGGACUCCCUCUAACAAAUUCCGAUACAAGUUUAAGAAAAAUUUUCAGCUAUAGAUGCUUCAUGCUUCAUGCUGCUUUCCUUGCUCAACAAUUUGUACAUAAUGCUCAUACAAAUGGAUAUGUAAAGCGGUGUACUGUGCGACAGUUUUGAUGAUUGUUGAUAGUAGCGUAGCUUCCAGUCACGGAACUUUCAUUUCAAUCCAUCUCGUCCACCUACAUUAAGUACACGACCUACAAGAUUUAAACCAGCGAAGUGCAUCGUCAUUGCCUUCACUCAACAAACGAAAUGUUGGAAAAAAAAAACUCCAUGAAGAAGCACACUUAAUCUGUAAGAUCAAAAACAAGAAUACUAAAUUCCAAUUCCCUCAGUUUGAGUAUUUAGAUAGCUGUUCACAUUGAUUUAAAAAAAAAGGCACAAAGAAUAUCUAAAUGAUGAAUCGCUUCUGGAGAGACAAGUCUGAACAUCUUCAAUAAAAACUUGGCCUAGAAACCAAUAGUAAACCAAAGCAUAUCACAUAACGUUCUUUCGUACACAUUCGAUGCUAGCCAGGAGGAAAAGAACACCUCUAUCUCAGCGUCUCUGACUCAUUAUACGAUCACAGCCAAGGCUGUACCAAACUGAAUGAACCGUCAACCAUAUUGCUCAUUUUCAAAAAAAUCGCAGCAGGUUUAACAUAAUGUCCAUAAAUCCAAGUGCUGUUCUCAUCACAAUCAACUCACACUCAA
rnacentral:lncRNA from 1 species